CGGCUCAGUAACACGUGGAUAACCUACCCUCAGAUCUGGGAUAACUCCGGGAAACUGGAGAUAAUACCGGAUAAUCCGUGAACGCUGGAAUGCCUUACGGUUGAAAGCUUUAGCGUCUGAGGAUGGGUCUGCGGCCGAUUAGGUAGUUGCUGGGGUAACGUCCCAACAAGCCGAUAAUCGGUACGGGUUGUGAGAGCAAGAGCCCGGAGAUGGAUUCUGAGACACGAAUCCAGGUCCUACGGGGCGCAGCAGGCGCGAAAACUUUACACUGCGCGAAAGCGCGAUAAGGGGACCUCGAGUGCGUGCGCAAUGCGUACGCUUUUCAGAUGCCUAAAAAGCAUCUGGAAUAAGGGCCGGGCAAGACCGGUGCCAGCCGCCGCGGUAACACCGGCGGCUCAAGUGGUGGCCGCUAUUAUUGGGCUUAAAGGGUCCGUAGCCGGACCAGUUAGUCCCUUGGGAAAUCUUACGGCUUAACCGUAAGGCUGCCAAUGGAUACUGCUGGUCUUGGGACCGGGAGAGGCAAGAGGUACCUCAGGGGUAGGAGUGAAAUCCUGUAAUCCUUGAGGGACCGCCAGUGGCGAAGGCGUCUUGCUAGAACGGGUCCGACGGUGAGGGACGAAAGCUAGGGGCACGAACCGGAUUAGAUACCCGGGUAGUCCUAGCCGUAAACGAUGCGAGCUAG
rnacentral:rRNA from 1 species